AUCAGACCGUGCCAUUGGAAAGUGAUCUUUGUCAUGCAUAAUUAUGGUAAUCUUUUGAGGCGUGUCUUUAAACAACGGUGAUACUACAGACUUAAUCCAGGCCCACGCAUCACUUAGAAUUUCGUUGUUCAAACAAACGUCUGCUAGUCUCUGCCUUGAAAAUCGUGGUCAUCUAUGUUGGUAGGCCACGACUAAACAGGCCAAAGCGACCAAGCGUCGAUAAACUAUUUUCAUGCGACGAAAUCAUGUUCGAAUAUGACUGUACGCCAGGGCAGUUUCUCAGCCCUUCACAGACAUAGCACUUCAGUCACAAGAGGGACAAUAGCUAAUGAGAUGAUAAUGAAGUAACGAGGCUCUUCAUGUGAUAUCAGAUUACCUUAGCAGUUGGCAUGGAUCCGACGGGAACAAAAUUCGAAGUACGAACCAGAGACAAGACCUCAGAGAGUUUACGUGUUGGAUAGUAUCUCGUUACGUUGUCCCAACUCUCGUGAUUCAAAGCUGGAGCUUGGUUUGGGAAUAAAUCUACAAGAUGACGAGCAUUGAUUUCAUAAUGGUCGCAUUUCUCAGUAUAAAUCUUGUGUUACGUCGUUGCAAAGUUUUUGCAGUUGAGACUGG